GCUUCACUCAUUAAUUAGGAUAAUUUAAGGCACCUGCGAGCAUUGACUUAAAUAAUCUGAAAGCAGGGGCAACAUAGACAUCGACAGUUUACAGGACAUGAAAUAACGUUUUAGUCAUGGAUUCAAACACAGAAGCCCCCCUGGCCCUGCAGACAGAUGAAGGCGUUGCAACGGACAAACAGGAACUGGAGGAUGUCAGCGACAGACUGGCGACCAUUUCAGAUCAUAUUACAAUAUGCGACCAAAUCCUGAAUGACCUCAAAGAACUAAGUGACAUCCUAGUGAGAAAAUCUCUUCAGGAUGUGACAUUACCUCUGCAGGACUGACCAGAAGUGAAACUCUUGAAUUUGUUUUAAUUCUAAAUAAAUAAAGAUGUCAAUAUCAAUUUGA